rnacentral:rRNA from 1 species
GGUAGAAUUUUGAUGAUGACAUUAUCUAUCUAUUAGUCUUGACCAAAUUACGUGCCAGCAGUCGCGGUAAUACGUAGAAGACAAGUGUUAUUCAUCUUUAUUAGGUUUAAAGAGUACCAAGACGGUUAAUAAAGCCCAAAAAAAAUGAAUACGGGGGACACAUUGACUAGAGUUAUAUGAAAAGAAGCUAGAAGGUACUGUUGCGUGUAGAGAUGAAAUUCUAUGAUACCAGAUAAUUGGCACAGAUUUAUGCGAAGGCAUCUUCUUAUGUAAUAACUGACGUUGUAGGACGAAGGCUUAGGAAGUGAACAGGAUUAGGUACCCCAGUAAUCUAGGCAGAAAAUGAUGAAUGUCAUAGGUUAAAUACAGACAGGUUAAAUUGACUAUCUAAUAGUAAAUAGGUGGUAUAUUAAUCAGUCUAUUAUUGUGUCUAUAAAUGAAAGUGUAAGCAUUCCACCUCAAGAGUAAUUUGGCAACAUUGAAACUGAAAUCAUUAGACCGUUUCUGAAACCAGUAGUGAAGUAUGUUGUUUAAUUAGAUGAUACACAAAAACCUUACCACAAUUUGAAUAUAUAUAAAAUAUAUUUACAAGCGCUGCACGGCUGUCUACAGUUAAUGUCGUGAGACUUUGGUUAGUUCCAUUAAAUUAACGUAAACCCUAAUUUUAUUUAUAAAUAAAA